ACCAAAUCUCUCCCAAACGCAGACAAAGGUCUCCAAGCCCACCUUCCAGCAGAAAAGAGCUUUUCAGCAUCGAUAACCCAAGUGAUAGGGAUUCUAUAAGCACCAUUUCAAGCUCACUCAAGCGCGAACUUAGCUGGCUUUUUAAAUCCUUAAGAAGAAAGAGACCAUCUCGGAACAG